CGCAAUGGGGGAAACCCUGACGGAGCGACGCCGCGUGGAGGAUGACGUUCUUCGGAAUGUAAACUCCUUUUGCCAGGGAAAAAGUUUAUUGAUUGUACCUGGAGAAUAAGAGGUUGCUAAACUCGUGCCAGCAGCAGCGGUAAUACGAGUGCCUCAAGCGUUAUCCGGAAUCAUUGGGCGUAAAGGGUGUGUAGGCGGUUUUGUUAGUCCUGCGUAAAAUCCCUCGGCUCAACCGAGGACCUGCGUGGGAAACGGCAAAGCUAGAGGACGGAAGAGGUCUCUGGAACUCAUAGUGUAGCGGUGAAAUGCGUUGAUAUUAUGGGGAACACCAAAAGCGAAGGCAAGAGACUGGUCCGCUCCUGACGCUGAAACACGAAAGCGU
rnacentral:rRNA from 1 species